AUGUCUAAAUCAGUAUCUCCCAAGGAGCCGGAACAGUUGUGGAAGCUCUUCAUCGGAGGGCUGAGCUUUGGAACAACCAAUGAGAAUCUGAGGAGCCAUUUUGAGCAAUAGAGAAGAGUAACCGACUGUGUGGUACCGAGAGAUCCAGUGGCUUUAGAUUUGUCACACACGCCACUGUGGAGGAAGUGGAUGCUGCCAUGAAUGCGAGAUCACACAAGGUGGAUGAGAGAGCUGUGGAACCUAAGAGAGCUGUGUCAAGAGAGAGAGACCAGGUGCCCACUUAACUGUGAGAAAGGUCUUUGUUGGUGGUAUUAAAGAAGACACUGAAGAGCAUCACCUAUGAGAUUAUUUUGAGCAGUAUGGGAAGAUAGAAGUGAUAGAAACUAUGACUGACAGAGGCAGUGGAAAAAAAGAGGGACUUUGCUUUUGUCACCUUUGAUGACCAUGACUCUGUGGAUAAGAUUGUUAUUCAGAAAUACCAUACUGUGAAUGGCCACAACUGUGAAAUAAGAAAGGCUCUGUCAAAGCAAGAGAUGGCUAGUGCUUCAUCCAGCCAGAGAGGUCGCAGUGGUUCUGGAAACUUUGGUGGUGGUGGUGAAGGCGGUUUUGGUGGCAAUGACAAUUUUGGUCAAGGAGGGAACUUUAGCGGUCAUGGUGGCUUUGGUGGCAGCCGUGGUGGUGGUAGAUGUGGUGGCAGUGGGGGUGGCUAUAAUGGAUUUGGCAAUAAUGGAAGCAAUUUUGGAGGUGGUGGAAUCUACAAUGAUUUUGGCAAUUACAACAAUCAGUCUUCAAAUUUUGGACCUAUGAAGGGAGGAAACUUUAGAGGCAGGAGCUCUGGCCCUUAUGGUGGUGGAGGCCAGUACAUUGCUAAACCAGGAAACCAAGGUGGCUACGGAGGUUCCAGCAGCAGCAGCAGUAGCUAUGGCAGUGGCAGGAGGUUCUAA
rnacentral:lncRNA from 1 species